AACGUAGGUGGCAAGCGUUAUCCGGAAUUACUGGGCGUAAAGGGUGUGCAGGCGGGGUGGCAAGUGGUGUAUGAAAUAUCCCAGCUUAACUGGGAGGGGUUAUGCCAGACUGCUACUCUAAAGGACGAGAGAGGGGCGUGGAAUUCCGGGUGUAGUGGUGAAAUGCGUAGAGAUCCGGAGGAACCCCAGAGGCGAAGGCGACGCCCUGGCUCGUACCUGACGCUCAGCCACGAAAGCAUGGGGAGCGAACGGG
rnacentral:rRNA from 1 species